GGAGGGGUGGCAGAGCGGUCUAUCGCGCCGGUCUUGAAAACCGGAGUGUCGCAAGGCACCGUGGGUUCGAAUCCCACCCCCUCCG
rnacentral:tRNA from 1 species